UACAGAGGGUGCAAGCGUUAAUCGGAAUUACUGGGCGUAAAGCGUGCGUAGGCGGAUGCUUAAGUCAGAUGUGAAAGCCCUGGGCUUAACCUAGGAAUUGCAUCUGAUACUGGGCGUCUAGAGUAUGGUAGAGGAUAGUGGAAUUUCAGGUGUAGCGGUGAAAUGCGUAGAUAUCUGAAGGAACACCAGUGGCGAAGGCGACUGUCUGGGCCAAUACUGACGCUGAGGUACGAAAGCAUGGGUAGCGAACAGG
rnacentral:rRNA from 1 species